rnacentral:rRNA from 1 species
GUGCACGCUGGCGGUAGGCCUCACACCUGCCAGUCGCACGGCAGCACAGUAAGAGCUUGCUCUUACGGGUGGCGAGUGGCGGACGGGUGAGGAAUACAUCGGAAUCUACUUUUUCGUGGGGGAUAACGUAGGGAAACUUACGCUAAUACCGCAUACGACCUACGGGUGAAAGCAGGGGAUCUUCGGACCUUGCGCGAUUGAAUGAGCCGAUGUCGGAUUAGCUAGUUGGCGGGGUAAAGGCCCACCAAGGCGACGAUCCGUAGCUGGUCUGAGAGGAUGAGCAGCCACACUGGAACUGAGACACGGUCCAGACUCCUACGGGAGGCAGCAGUGGGGAAUAUUGGACAAUGGGCGCAAGCCUGAUCCAGCCAUACCGCGUGGGUGAAGAAGGCCUUCGGGUUGCAAAGCCCUUUUGUUGGGAAAGAAAAGCAGCAGGUUAAUACCCCGCUGUUCUGACGGUACCCAAAGAAUAAGCACCGGCUAACUUCGU